rnacentral:rRNA from 1 species
GUGCCAGCAGCCGCGGUAAUACGGAGGAUCCGAGCGUUAUCCGGAUUUAUUGGGUUUAAAGGGUGCGCAGGCAGGAUGUUAAGUCGGCGGUGAAAUUUUGCAGCUCAACUGUAAAAGUGCCUUCGAUACUGGCCUCCUUGAGUGUGGAUGAAGUAGGCGGAAUUUGUGGUGUAGCGGUGAAAUGCUUAGAUAUCACGAGGAACUCCGAUUGCGCAGGCAGCUUACUAAGCCACAACUGACGCUCAUGCACGAAGGCGUGGGGAUCAAACAGGAUUAGAUACCCUGGUAGUCCACGCAGUAAACGAUGAUUACUCGCUGUUUGCGAUACACAGUAAGCGGCUUAGCGAAAGCGUUAAGUAAUCCACCUGGGGAGUACGUUCGCAAGAAUGAAACUCAAAGGAAUUGACGG